UGUAAUGUGACUGUUAAACUAGGCUGUACAUGGCCUAUAAUUUUUUUUCAUUCUGUUAUAGUUUAUAUUGGUAUGGUUGUCUAGUGUAGCUCUGGGUUAGGUCAAGUCUAUUUAAAAGUUUGAAAUCUAUUAAUCUUCAGUAAAUAAUCAGUAGUUUAGUGUAAAUUCAAGCAUGAAAUAUAGACUUAAAAUUAGCAUGUGAGCAAAGUCGAAC
rnacentral:lncRNA from 1 species